GUUGAACGCUGGCGGCAGGCUUAACACAUGCAAGUCGAGCGGAGAUGAGGUGCUUGCACCUUAUCUUAGCGGCGGACGGGUGAGUAAUGCUUAGGAAUCUGCCUAUUAGUGGGGGACAACAUUCCGAAAGGAAUGCUAAUACCGCAUACGUCCUACGGGAGAAAGCAGGGGAUCUUCGGACCUUGCGCUAAUAGAUGAGCCUAAGUCGGAUUAGCUAGUUGGUGGGGUAAAGGCCUACCAAGGCGACGAUCUGUAGCGGGUCUGAGAGGAUGAUCCGCCACACUGGGACUGAGACACGGCCCAGACUCCUACGGGAGGCAGCAGUGGGGAAUAUUGGACAAUGGAGGGAACCCUGAUCCAGCCAUGCCGCGUGUGUGAAGAAGGCCUUAUGGUUGUAAAGCACUUUAAGCGAGGAGGAGGCUACUGAGACUAAUACUCUUGGAUAGUGGACGUUACUCGCAGAAUAAGCACCGGCUAACUCUGUGCCAGCAGCCGCCGUAAGAC
rnacentral:rRNA from 1 species